CAUUCUCUUCCCUUCCCCAGGAAUGCCAAGGCCUGAGGAACUUUUUCUCACUCCAUGUGAUCCUCUGGGCUCUGCAGGGCCCCUCCAUUCAGCAUUUAAAAGAGACAUGGAGAUGGGUGUCCAGGAAGAACUGGACAAAACUUAAAAAGUUGAUGAAAACUAGCCAGCGGGAGAGCAGGAAGCUGCUCAAGGAGGUGAGUGGAGGCUGGAGAUCUGGAAGGAGGGGAGGGUGUCGUCCCCUUCCUGGGCACGUUCCUCUAUCACCUGAAGCUGCUGGACAUUGGGAUGGAGGAUGAUCUGGAAGUGAGUGAGCCUGGAGGUGGGGCCAGGGAGAAGUAUCCUGAGGUUUGGGAGGCGAUAGCCCUGCACUGGGCCCUGAGCUCUCAGUACCUGGCAAACCUUCUCUCAUGAGAGCCCCAUGGCCACCCCUGGGAGCUGGAGAGUCAGGCCCAUCUUAGCAAUGCAUGAAUAGACGGCCCACGUAAGCCCCCCACCAGGCUCCCUGGGCUGGUGAAGCUCAGAGCUGCCUGUCUGCAGAGCUGCAGGAGGCUGUGUCUGAGCUGCACUCAGCCUCCCCCUCAGGUCCUGCCCCUGGGGGAGUGCCAUCAGCCCCUGCAAGUGAGGAAGAACUUCUGUGGUCCAGCUGUCCCUUCCUCCCUGAGGCCCCAGUCUCCCCAUCUGUCAUCAGAGAGGGUGUGCUACAUAAGGUCUCUGGCCUCAGCUCCCCUGUCCCUCCUGCUCUGGAGCCCAGAGCCUGGCCCA